rnacentral:rRNA from 1 species
GGGGGGGGGGGGGGGGGGGGGGGGGGGGGGGGGGGGGAGGGGACGGGUGGGGGGCUGGCUCCUCGGACGGUAGGGGCGGAGGGGUGGGGAACACGUGGAUAACCUACCUAGAAGACGGGGAUAACUGCGGGAGACGGGAGCUAAUACCGGAGAAUAUAUUGAACCGCCUGGUUCACUAGUGCAAGACGGGUUUGCGGUCACUGGUGGAUGGAUCCGCGCCGCAUUAGAUAGUUGGUAAGGUAACGGCUUACCAAGGCAACGAUGCGUAGCCGACCUGAGAGGGUGAUCGGCCACACUGGAACUGAGACACGGUCCAGACUCCUACGGGAGGCAGCAGUAGGGAAUCUUCCGCAAUGGGCGAAAGCCUGACGGAGCAACGCCGCGUGAGUGAUGAAGGUCUUCGGAUCGUAAAACUCUGUUAUUAGGGAAGAACAAAUGUGUAAGUAACUAUGCACGUCUUGACGGUACCUAAUCAGAAAGCCACGGCUAACUACGUG